GUGAGUAGUUCAGAGUUUGAUCCUGGCUCAGGAUGAACGCUAGCGGCAGGCUUAACACAUGCAAGUCGAGGGGCAGCAUGAACCGACCUUCGGGAAGGUUUGAUGGCGACCGGCGCAAGGGUGCGUAACGCGUGAGCAACUUGCCCGUUUCAGGGGGAUAACCGGUGGAAACGCCGACUAAUACCCCAUAGUAAUUGACUUUAGGCAUCUUUAGUCAAUUAAAGAAUUUCGGAAACGGAUAGGCUCGCGUGACAUUAGCUAGAUGGCGGGGUAACGGCCCACCAUGGCAACGAUGUCUAGGGGUUCUGAGAGGAAGGUCCCCCACACUGGAACUGAGACACGGUCCAG
rnacentral:rRNA from 1 species